UUCAGCAUAUUGCACAGUCUACUAGUAUUUCGUGACUUGAGGUUCAACAGCAUUUUGAAGUUCUAUGCAGUUGACGCCACGUUACAUCAAAAAUGAAGGGUGUUGUGAUUCUACUUCUUGUGUGUGUAUUGGCUGUUAAUGCCGCUCCAUUGGAGGAAAGAGCAGUUAAAGAUUGCACCACGAUUGUAAAUUGCUUCGUCCACCCUUGCACCUUCGCCAAGUGCUCUAUUCCCGGCGCAGUUUGCAGACAAGGGUGCUUCUGCAAUCCGAUCUGGGAAGUGAACGGCAUGGAAGUGCAAUGUUAAACAUUCAACCAAAUGCAUGACUCUUGAACCAUUUAUUGUGUAUUAAUACAAUAAUAAAGAAUUUCCGAA
rnacentral:lncRNA from 1 species